GCGCCCAAACAGGGCGCGGAACACCCAGGCGCCAGACGGCGGCGUCGGGGGGAAAGGGUGCAAAGCACCCAAGAUGAACCCCGCCCUCCAGCCUGGGUCACA
rfam:Thermococcus piezophilus strain CDGS, complete genome.